rnacentral:rRNA from 1 species
CACGUAGGCGGCUCGGCAAAUCGGUCGUGGAAUCCCGACGCUUACCGUCGGAACGGCGGCCGAAAAUACCGGGCUCGAGGGCGUGAGGGGUCACUGGAACUCCUGGUGAAGCGGUGAAAUGCGUAGAUAUCAGGAGGAACGCCGGAGGCGAAAGCGAGUGACUGGCGCGUUCCUGACGCUGAGGUGCGAAAGCUAGGGGAGCAAACAGGAUUAGAUACCCUGGUAGUCCUAGCCGUAAACGAUGGACACUGAGUGAAGGAGGGCUUGCCCUUCUUUGCUGCAGCUAACGCGUUAAGUGUCCCGCCUGGGGAGUACGGCCGCAAGGUUAAA